UCUUAGUGGCGGACGGUGAGUAACGCGUGGGGAACCUGCCCUGUACAGGGGGAUAACACUUAGAAAUAGGUGCUAAUACCGCAUAAGCGCACAGUAUCGCAUGAUACAGUGUGAAAAACUCCGGUGGUACAGGAUGGACCCGCGUCUGAUUAGCUGGUUGGCGGGGUAACGGCCCACCAAGGCGACGAUCAGUAGCCGGCCUGAGAGGGUGAACGGCCACAUUGGGACUGGGACACGGCCCAAACUCCUACGGAAGGCAGCAG
rnacentral:rRNA from 1 species